ACCUACGGGGGGCAGCAGUAGGGAAUCUUCCACAAUGGACGAAAGUCUGAUGGAGCAACGCCGCGUGAGUGAAGAAGGGUUUCGGAUCGUAAAACCCUGUUGUUAGAGAAGAAAGUGCGUGAGAGUAACUGUUCACGUUUCGACGGUAUCUAACCAGAAAGCCACGGCUAACUACGUGCCAGCAGCCGCGGUAAUACGUAGGUGGCAAGCGUUAUCCGGAUUUAUUGGGCGUAAAGGGAACGCAGGCGGUCUUUUAAGUCUGAUGUGAAAGCCUUCGGCUUAACCGGAGUA
rnacentral:rRNA from 1 species